AUUGAACGCUGGCGGCGUGCCUAACACAUGCAAGUCGAGCGGUAACAGGUGUAGCAAUACAUGCUGACGAGCGGCGGACGGGUGAGCAAUAUUUGGGAAUCUGCCUAUUAGUGGGGGACAACCCGGGGAAACUCGGGCUAAUACCGCAUACGCACUACGGUGGAAAGCCGGGGAUCGUAAGACCUGGCGCUAAUAGAUGAGCCCAAAUCGGAUUAGCUAGUUGGUGAGGUAACGGCUCACCAAGGCUACGAUCCGUAGCUGGUCUGAGAGGACGACCAGCCACACCGGAACUGAGACACGGUCCGGACUCCUACGGGAGGCAGCAGUGGGGAAUAUUGGACAAUGGGCGAAAGCCUGAUCCAGCGACGCCGCGUGGGUGAAGAAGGCCUGCGGGUUGUAAAGCCCUUUCGGUGGGGAAGAAAAGCCUCGUUCUAAUACAACGGGGUCUUGACGUAACCCAUAGAAGAAGCACCGGCUAACUCUGUGC
rnacentral:rRNA from 1 species